rnacentral:rRNA from 1 species
GACGAACGCUGGCGGCGUGCUUAACACAUGCAAGUCGAACGGAAAGGCCCUGCUUUUGUGGGGUGCUCGAGUGGCGAACGGGUGAGUAACACGUGAGUAACCUGCCCUUGACUUUGGGAUAACUUCAGGAAACUGGGGCUAAUACCGGAUAGGAGCUCCUGCUGCAUGGUGGGGGUUGGAAAGUUUCGGCGGUUGGGGAUGGACUCGCGGCUUAUCAGCUUGUUGGUGGGGUAGUGGCUUACCAAGGCUUUGACGGGUAGCCGGCCUGAGAGGGUGACCGGCCACAUUGGGACUGGGAUACGGCCCAGACCCGUACGGGGGGCAGCGGUGGGGAAUAUUGCACAAUGGGCGGAAGCCUGAUGGAGCAACGCCGCGUGGGGGAGGAAGGCCUUCGGGGUGUAAACCGCUUUCGCCUGUGACGAAGGGGGAGUGACGGUAAUGGGUAAAGAAGCACCGGCUAACUACGU